UCAGAUCGUCCUACAUCCUCCAACAACCUCUCAAAAUGAUUUUCCGCACAGUAAAACCAUCAGAGGAUUCAGACACAUGAAUUGACUUGCUCCUCAUUGGUGUUUUCAUUGACCCUAAGCUUCUUUGUCUUCAUCUGUUGUUGUUAGAGUUACAAUAUCUGUUCGCUGAAAUGAAGGUAGAGUGAAAGGGAAGGGGGAGAGAGAGAGAGAGAGAGAGAGAUUGAGAGA